UUACAAAAAUAUAACUUCACAUAUACUCACAAUCUGUGUGAAUAUUUAUGUGAUUUUAGCAGAAAGGUUCAACAAUGCGAUUGUAGAGAUGAAGCGAGUGUCAACAUUUUAAAUUUAUACAACGCCACUAAGAAUCUUAGUCUGUGCGUCGAAGAUAUUAAGAAACUCUGCUCUGUUGACCCCAACAUUGGAGAUCCUUGUGAUUGUAAAGUAGAAUGCAG